rnacentral:lncRNA from 1 species
UCUCUCGGUUAGAAACCAGAAGAUACGAUUUGUUGCACAUUUGUGUUUCCUAAACUAUCAUCAAACACACAGGUUCGGUAAAUAAUAUUUGACAAGAUCAAUGGCCGUGGGCAGUGUAGUGAGGACAUUCAGACCAUACUUGAGAACUGUUUUGUACCCCACAUUUGUCCUGUCCUUCAUCUUCUGGGAUCUGAAUAAGACCAGAAUCUUCAAAGCAAAAAAGAGAGCAGAAGCUGAAAGAAGAAACAAUUAAUACCUAUUAGUGUGAUCAACACCUUACCAAACAAGAUGACUGCCGGCACGGUUACAAAAGCCCGCAAGGUAAUGCUGAACCCACGAUUCUUCAAGUACUACUUACAACUGGGAGGUGUGUCAUGCCUGUUCCUAAUCGGGGGAUGGAUGGACAACUUACUGACUCAUAGAGAGUCCUCCAUGUUCAUGAACAAGUCUGGAUGUUUCCCACCUCGAGAUCUGGGACCUGGUAACAAAAGAUGGUGAUUGAUAUCCUGGAGCCACACAAUAACCUCAGUGGUUAUUUGUGUGUGAAAAAGUGUUUUCAGUCUUUUUUUGUUGUUGUACAGAAUAACUGGAGUUUUCAUAAGCUUAUUGAGUAAGACAUCAAUUUAUUUCAACUUUUUACAGAGGACUUGACCCUGGUGACUGGAAUAUUGACAACAUUUCAAACAACACUAGAGGUAACAGCCGACUACUUUGUCUACUGAGCACAUUGCAAGUUGCCUGUAAUGGUGGUAGUGUUUGUUUCUGGAAUAAUAAAGACGUUUUGAAAAGGAAA